GUUUGUAAGUCUUGCGUUUGAUGAAGUCUGAGUUAUAGUUGUUUUUGUCAAAAACACGUUUGAGAUAGUUGUUUUCGUUGUGUAGAGCCCCCUGAAUAG